rnacentral:rRNA from 1 species
GACGAACGCUGGCGGCGUGCUUAACACAUGCAAGUCGAACGGUGAAGCGCCUUCCUUUUUGGUGGGUGUGGAUGAGUGGCGAACGGGUGAGUAACACGUGAGUAACCUGCCCCCUUCUUCUGGAUAACCGCAUGAAAGUGUGGCUAAUACGGGAUAUUCUGGGUCUGUCGCAUGAUGGGUCUGGGAAAGAUAUUGUUUCGGUGGGGGAUGGGCUCGCGGCCUAUCAGCUUGUUGGUGGGGUGAUGGCCUACCAAGGCGGUGACGGGUAGCCGGCCUGAGAGGGUGGACGGUCACACUGGGGCUGCGACACGGCCCAGACUCCUACGGGCGGCAGCAGUGGGGAAUAUUGCACAAUGGGCGCAAGCCUGAUGCAGCGACGCCGCGGGAGGGAUGGAGGCCUUCGGGUUGUGAACCUCUUUCGCCAGUGAAGCAGGCCUGCCUCGUUUGUGGGUGGGUUGACGGUAGCUGGAUAAGAAGCGCCGGCUAACUACGUG